AUAGCGUAUAUUAAAGUUGUUGCAGUUAAAAAGCUCGUAGUUGAACUUCAGACCUGGCUGGGCGGUCAGCUUAUCGGCGUGUACUGUCUGGCUGGGCCUUACUUCUUGGUGAGCUGGUGUGUCCUUUAUUGGGUGCGUCGGUGAACCAGGACCUUUACCUUGAGAAAAUUAGAGUGUUCAAAGCAGGCCUAUGCCCGAAUACAUUAGCAUGGAAUAAUAAAAUAGGACGUGCGGUUCUAUUUUGUUGGUUUCUAGAGUCGCCGUAAUGAUUAAUAGGGAUAGUUGGGGGCAUUAGUAUUCAGUUGCUAGAGGUGAAAUUCUUGGAUUUACUGAAGACUAACUACUG
rnacentral:rRNA from 1 species